UUAUCUGAACCUUCGGGGAACGAUAACGGCGUCGAGCGGCGGACGGGUGAGUAAUGCCUAGGAAAUUGCCCUGAUGUGGGGGAUAACCAUUGGAAACGAUGGCUAAUACCGCAUAAUGCCUACGGGCCAAAGAGGGGGACCUUCGGGCCUCUCGCGUCAGGAUAUGCCUAGGUGGGAUUAGCUAGUUGGUGAGGUAAUGGCUCACCAAGGCGACGAUCCCUAGCUGGUCUGAGAGGAUGAUCAGCCACACUGGAACUGAGACACGGUCCAGACUCCUACGGGAGGCAGCAGUGGGGAAUAUUGCACAAUGGGCGCAAGCCUGAUGCAGCCAUGCCGCGUGUGUGAAGAAGGCCUUCGGGUUGUAAAGCACUUUCAGUCGUGAGGAAGGUNGUGUAGUUAAUAGCUGCAUUANUUGACGUUAGCGACAGAAGAAGCACCGGCUAACUCCGUGCCAGCAGCCGCGGUAAUACGGAGGGUGCGAGCGUUAAUCGGAAUUACUGGGCGUAAAGCGCAUGCAGGUGGUUUGUUAAGUCAGAUGUGAAAGCCCGGGGCUCAACCUCGGAAUAGCAUUUGAAACUGGCAGACUAGAGUACUGUAGAGGGGGGUAGAAUUUCAGGUGUAGCGGUGAAAUGCGUAGAGAUCUGAAGGAAUACCGGUGGCGAAGGCGGCCCCCUGGACAGAUACUGACACUCAGAUGCGAAAGCGUGGGGAGCAAACAGGAUUAG
rnacentral:rRNA from 1 species